UCCUACGGGAGGCAGCAGUGGGGAAUCUUCCGCAAUGGGCGCAAGCCUGACGGAGCAACGCCGCGUGAGUGAAGAAGGUUUUCGGAUCGUAAAGCUCUGUUGAUAGGGACGAGAGAC
rnacentral:rRNA from 1 species